GAUGAACGCUGGCGGCGUGCCUAACACAUGCAAGUCGAACGAAGCGCCUUACCGGAUUUACCGGAUGACGGUCUGGUGCCUGAGUGGCGGACGGGUGAGUAACGCGUGGGUAACCUGCGCUGUACAUGGGGAUAACAGCUGGAAACGGCUGCUAAUACAGCAUAAUUGCACGUGGAGACAUCUCCUUGUUUGUAAAAUCCUGGUGCAACAGGAUGGGUUCGCGUCGGAUUAGCUGGUUGGCAGGGUUACCGCCAACCCAGGCAACGUUCAGUACACGGUCAGAAAGGAUGAACAGCCACAGUGGAAGUGAGACACGUUCCAAACUCGUACGGGAGGCAGCAGUGUAGUAUAUUGCACAAUGCGGGAACCCCUGAUGCAGCAGCGCCGCGUAGGUGAAGAAGGAAUGCAGUAUGUAGGACGCUAUCAGCAGGUAGGAUAAUGACGGUACCUGGCUAAGAAGCUCCGGCUAAAUACGUG
rnacentral:rRNA from 1 species